rnacentral:rRNA from 1 species
GAUGAACGCUGGCGGCGUGCCUAAUACAUGCAAGUCGAGCGAACGGACGAGAAGCUUGCUUCUCUGAUGUUAGCGGCGGACGGGUGAGUAACACGUGGAUAACCUACCUAUAAGACUGGGAUAACUUCGGGAAACCGGAGCUAAUACCGGUAAUAAUUUUAACCGCCAUGUUUCAAAAGUAAAAGAGGGUCUUCCUUUACCUAUAAGUUGGACCGCGCUGCAUUAGCUAGUUGGUAAGGUAACGGCUUACCAAGGCAACGAUGCAUAGCCGACCUGAGAGGGUGAUCGGCCACACUGGAACUGAGACACGGUCCAGACUCCUACGGGAGGCAGCAGUAGGGAAUCUUCCGCAAUGGGCGAAAGCCUGACGGAGCAACGCCGCGUGAGUGAUGAAGGUCUUCGGAUCGUAAAACUCUGUUAUUAGGGAAGAACAUAUGUGUAAGUAACUGUGCACAUCUUGACGGUACCUAAUCAGAAAGCCACGGCUAACUACGUG